ensembl:lncRNA
CACAGUAGCACAGGAACAGAGCGAGAGGGAGAGAAAGACUCAGGGACAACAACGUCACAUUAGAAAGACACCCUGUAUUUUUCCUCACUACUUUACAUCGGCCCUUGAGAGCAUAACACUGCGUUCAUCAGCAUCGCAAAGCUAACAGCGUUCUUUUUAACAUGGACAUCAUAUAUGGAGCUCGACACAACGGGACACCCCACGUUCCACUUACACAAGGAUCACAAAGCUAUAUUGGGCAAACUACACCUCUAAAAAACACAAGGGUCAAUAAGUUGUCCAGAAAAACCUGCAGAAGCGGGAGCAAUAAGACCAAGCCUUACGUUAGAAGCCGCUGGAGAGGACGCGGAGACCAUGGUAAAAAGCUUCAUCAAAACCCACCUGAAGCUGCAGGAGGACAUGGUGAAGAAUAUCGCCUUCAAUAGAGUGCAUCGCAUUGGCCCCAUCUGGGCUGCGACCGGGAGACCACGUCCUAUUGUGGCCAAAUUCGGCCACUUCAAACAAAAGGAACAGGUGAAAAGUCGCAGCAGGAAAUUAAAAGGAACUGACUUCAGUGUAAACAACCAGUUCCCAAAAGAGAUCCUGGAACGACGGCGGGUCCUCUUCCCAAUCCGAUGAGGAUUCAUCCAGAAGGG